AAACAAACACUUUUGAAAUUUCCCAAUCCCUAAUCUCAGCUCAACCUCCCGAUCCAAUCUUGCCGCCGUGCUCUCAAGAGCUUUCGCCACCGUGCUCUCAAUCCACUACCCACAAACCUCACGCCUCCUCCCUCAUCAAAACCCGAAAAAUUUGCUGACCGAAGAGACCCAAGCUCUUCACUGGCGAGGCUUGCUCUGUCACCGGCAGGCUGUCACUCCACUUGAUCAAGUUUAAACGCACAAGUGAAACAAAACAAAACAUGGCCAUGAAACCUAAAACCCACAACGGAAAUGGCAACUCCAGUGACAACAACGGCAGCGGAGGAAGACAUGGUGAUUAGUAUGGUGGCUGCUUGUGUUAACCUCAGUACCUCGUUUCAUGGCGAAACCGGGUUCUGGGUCCGGUUCCGAUUCUAAUAAAGCCUCUCAGAAUGUUGUGUUUGUAGACACCAGCCUGGACACCACUUGGCCUUGUUUGUUUCAAAUUCCAACACCGUUUCCGACCUCAAAAUUUCUAUUCCUAAUGACCUUUACAUGUCGUCAACUUGCAAAGAAAAUUCUUUAUGAGCACCCACUGUGCUUUCCUAACACUGGGAAGAUACAAAUUCAUGCUCUAAAGGUAAAGCGCAAAGGAUACUUUUACCACUUAUCAGAUUCCAUGUUUGUAAAAAGUUCUUUUGAUGGAAUCAAGAAGAAUUGGUUUCUUUUUGUUGAUGCCUCUCAUUCAAUGGAGCAUGGUGAAAAUCAACAGUCCCAUAUUCCUGGUUCUAACAACAUAUUAGCCUGUUUUGGCACCAAUAAUAGUACUUCAUUUGAUAGGAUUGAUCUUCCUCAUGAUGGUUCUCUCAAAAGGCCAUCCAAUAUUAAUGGUUCACCACUACAGCUGGUUGGGAGCAACUAGAAUGUGAAAGAGAAUAUUCCUAUAGCUGACCAGUAUGGUUCAAGUGAUUUUGGUGUAGAAGUUUUAAAAGAAAAAAAUGCUUCAGUUCAUGGAUUUGGCAAAGAUGCGUCACAACAAGAUAUUGCAGUCCCAGAAUACUCUUUAGAUGAUGCAGGUAGAGAAGUUUCAUUUGAUAUGAGGAUGGGAAACAAAAUUAUUCCUGAUGAACCUUGCAGGAGUUCGUCUUCUAAUAUUAGUAAGAGGUCAGUUUCUACAGUAGAGAGGAAGAAUUAUCUGAGCAAGGAAACUGAAGUUAAAGAAAAACAUGGUAAUGGCAAGAUUGAAAAAUUUAAGAAUGACAUGGAUGUGCAAGGCAACAAGUCAUUGGAAGAAGCUGCACAAUCUAGGUCUCAUAAAAAGAGAAAGCGUAACAUUGAAAAGAAAAUUGGAGAUGAAGAUUCUUUGAAGGAAAAGAGAGUUUUGACUUGUGAUUCUACUAAAGAGAUCUCCAAGGCAAAUACCAUCUUAGGCAGUAUAUCUUCUGAACCAGUGGAGGAUGCCCAUUUGUUAGAAACUGGUUCAAGCAGUGGGAAGCAUAAGAAGAGAAGAAAGAAAACUUCAAAUACUCUCAAUCAGGUAGUUUCUACAGUUCCUUCUUCUGGAAAAGAUGUUAGAGAAGAGAACUCUUAGGUCACGGUGGGACUUAAUCACAAGGAUUCAGGUGGAGAACCUGGUGCAGCAUCUGUUCCUGGACAAGAUGUCCAGCUUGCAACUGUAACAACUUCUGAACUCUCUGGAAUUUCUUUGAAGGAAAAGCAGGGUGAUUCUGUUCAUGAAAUGGGGGAAAAUAAUGAAUUACCCUCUUCACUAGUGGACAAACAGAAGAGAAAUGUGACCGUAGACAGUUUAGCCACUGAACCUUUGGAAAAUGUACAUUUGCUGGAAACUGAUUCAAGCAGGGUAAAGAAGAAGAGGAAAAAGAAAUCUGAUUCCCUUAAUCAAGUAUUCACUGCUGUUCCUUCUGCCAAAGAUACUAAGGAAGAAAGUUCUAGGGUCACUUUGGAAAUUAAUUAGAAGGAUUCAAUUAAAGAAUUGGAUGCAACAUGUGUAACUGGAGAGUGUGUUCAGGAUGCAAUGACUUCUGGACUUCGUGAAAUCUCUGAGAAGGAGAAGGAGAAGCAGUAUGACUUUGCAGUGGGGGAACAUGACAAAGUCAUAUUGCUUCUCCCUCUCCUUCUCAGAGAUUUCACGAAGUCCAGAAGUCAACAUGUCUGGAGCUGCGUUUGUUUAAACCUUCUCUCUCACUCUCUCCCUUUGACUCUCAAACCCAAUCCUCCUCACCAUGGCCGAAGCCGUCACUCUCUCUCACUCCGAUCACCAGCACCACCACUACGAUGGUCUUCUCCAUCCCCGAACCAACUCUCUCAACCUCGAAAUCUCUCUCUAAUCCUCAGAUCGCCAUGGUGGCAGCGGUGGUUGCAGCAUCAGAGCCAUUUGGAUCAUCAACAGCCUCGAUGCCAUCGUUUUCUCCAGGGCUAUUUUAGUAAUCUGCCAAUUAGUACACAGGGAUUGUAUACAGAGGUGGUUUAACGAGAAGGGCAACACCACCUGUGAAAUAUGCCUCCAGGCUAGGCAAGUUCAUCCAGAUAAAAAUCCAAACGACUCUCAAGCGGCUGAAAGAUUUCAGGCUAGUUCAUCCAGAUAAAAAUCUACUAAUUUUUCCCUUAUAGAAAAAUUCAGGUUUUGGCUUUUCAAUACUAUAGAAACAAUAAGGAAUCUACUAACAGAAAUUUUUUAAUUUUAAUACUAUUUCCUCUACUCUAGUGUUGUGGAAUGACCUAUUUUACACAAAUUUUGGCUUCAUUUCUUCAACUUUUAUUUCAGAAGGUGUUGUUAGACCAGGUCAACAGUCAAACACAACAUUGCAUUGUCCUAAACUUAAUUAUGAUUGCAUUGUUCUAAUAUGCUUCUCAUGUGUUAAGGGUUGGUCAUUUCUUUCUCUUCCAUAUAUUCUUUGAUUCUUUUAUUUUUAAUCCUAUGGUUAGGAUUUGUAUGUUAAUUUUACACAAAUUUGGCUGUCUCUAGGCCUAAAUUUUAUAUCCAACUGCUUUGGGCUAGUGAACAUUACCCAAUCUACGCCUUUUGAGGAGACCUUCUCUCUCUCUCUCUCUUCUUAUAUAUAUACCUCUCUUUGUCACUAUUGUUUCUUGUGCAGUAGUAGUUGUAGUAGUAGUAAAUUCAAAAGCAGAGUUUUGUGUUUGUAUUACUUUUUGCAACCACCUAGGCUAGAAGAGAGGAAGAAGUAAGAAGAAGAAGAAUAUAGAGGUUUGAUCCAGCAGAAGAGGCAGAGAAAGAGAGAGCAGCCCAGAUAGGGUCAAAGUCUACAACAUGCAUCCAAGGGUGGUCAAACCCAUCAAAAAAGUACAAGUUGUUUACUAUCUCUCAAGAAAUGGCCAUCUUGAACACCCACAUUACAUGGAAGUCACCCAUUUAGUCAAUCAACCUCUUCGUUUAAGAGGUUUUCCUAAAGCAGCAUCUUACAAAUGUUGUCUUUUGACUCCAAUUUUGGUGAUGAAGGUUAAGAAUUUAAUAGCUUGAUUUGGUUAUUGUGAAUUGGCUCCUGCAAAUCUUUCUGGUCAACUGGUUCCACAACUUGGUCAGCUUUUAAAUCUGCAAUACUUGGCCUGUGAAACGAUCAUGUUUAUUGAAGGUGAACGAUCAGCAAUAAGACAGAUCGAUCCAAUAGGAUCAGGUGGGAACUUUGUGAUGUUUUUAUUUUGUGAUGUAAAAACCAAAGUUUGUUGGGAACUUUUAUUUUAUAUGUAAUUAUUUGGAUAUGUAAUUAAUCUUUUGGCAACGAACAUAAUUGUUUUGUUUAUGUAAAAUUAUCGUUCAUGUAAUUAAUAUUUUGGUAAUGAUUUGAUACUAUAUAGUAUCAAAUAUGCAAUUUGUUUUGUUGGUUCA